UCUUGUAUCUCAAACAGAAUACGUCACUAAUUAAAUUUAAUUAAAUUAUAUUUCAAUGUUACAAUAAAUACUUUAUAUGGGUGUUUAAAGUAAAAAAAAAGAUGUAAACAUUGUUCAAUAUAUAUUUAUGGUGCUAUCAUCCGCUGCUAGAGCCUUCCUUUACUGUGGGCUAUACACAAUGCGCCGGGGUCUCCACGGUAACGGGGUGCGCCACAAGGCCAGCCAGUGCGUGGCUCCCGGACGCUCCGUUACACCUCCGGAAUGUGGGCAGACGGCGUGAAAAGGGGGCAGUGAGCGGCCCACAUUACAAAAAUAACCCAGUGGGCUUUUGGAAAUGUGCCAGUGGCGACACCGUGACUGCAGACCGGAGAGAACGCCGUCCGCACGCACCCGCGCGCGGAUGACGUAAUGGACCAUGCUCUGUAAACCCUGGAGGUGGUGGUGGAGUGGAUCAACAGUUUCUGAAAUACUUCAACAACCAUGCCUCGUUCAAAGUCACUAAAGUUAUCUUUCUUCCCCAUUCAUUUAAAUAUCAGCACUUAAUCUUUACUAUAUCUACAUGCCUAAAUUCACUGGGUUGCUGCCAUGUGAUUGGCUGACUAGAUAACAAACUUUUGAACAGGUGUACCUAAUAAAGUAUGAAGUAAAAGAAAUUGUAAUACAUUAAAUGUGACUAAUACACAUUUUUAGAGGUUUAAAAAAAUAUAAGUAAUGAAAAUUUACAGUGACUGUAUUUUUAAAUUUAACUCUCUGUUUAGCGUUCAUGUUUUUUAAAAAUGAAAGUGAUUUUAUUUUGAAAUUCACACAUCAGCUUCAUUAAUGGAUCCCAGUUCAGCAGCGGAGGCAUAAAAUGAGUCAACUCACAGGUACCGUUACUUUUAUAAUGUCACGCCUUUGUUUUGAGACAUUGUUUUGACAGUCAAAUCCUCAUUGCAGAACAUCAGCCCAGCUGGGUGCAUCAUUUGGAUAACGCUCCUAACUAAUCCUCCAAACGAUUCAGCGCCUUAUAAUCCCAAUAUUAUUACAAUGUAAUCAAAGGAUGGAAAGCACUCAAUUUAUUAAACCCUCCUGGGUGAGACAAAUGAGUCUGCACACACACACACACACAAGCAGAGACAACAAGAACCACAUUUCAUGUAGAAAGUGUAGUUUUAUUAUUUCAAACUUCUCCUUAACACCCGAGGUUUUCACCUCAUACCUGUCUCCCUCCUUCCCUUUUCCUUUCUCCAGUUACAUCUACAAAAACUACUCAGAGCACAUCACUGUGUAUGGUACAUUUUCCUCCUCUGACGCCGUGCUCUGGUGGGGAAAUCA